CCUACGGGAGGCAGCAGUGAGGAAUAUUGGUCAAUGGCCGCGAGCCUGAACCAGCCAAGUAGCGUGAAGGAUGAAUGUCCUACGCAUUGUAAACUUCUUUUAUAAUGGAAUAAAGUCAGGCACGUGUGCCUUUUCGUAUGUACUUUAUGAAUAAGGAUCGGCUAACUCCGUGCCAGCAGCCGCGGUAAUACGGAGGAUGCGAGCGUUAUCCGGAUUUAUUGGGUUUAAAGGGUGCGUAGGCGGUCCGUUAAGUCAGCGGUAAAAUGCCGGGGCUCAACCCCGUCGAGCCGUUGAAACUGGCAGACUUGAGUUGGCGAGAAGUACGCGGAAUGCGCGGUGUAGCGGUGAAAUGCAUAGAUAUCGCGCAGAACUCCGAUUGCGAAGGCAGCGUACCGGCGCCAGACUGACGCUGAGGCACGAAAGCGUGGGGAUCGAACAGGAUUAGAUACCCGAGUAGUC
rnacentral:rRNA from 1 species